rnacentral:rRNA from 1 species
AGAGUUUGAUCCUGGCUCAGGACGAACGCUGGCGGCGUGCUUAACACAUGCAAGUCGAACGGGGUCCAACUCGUGGCAACACGAGGGAAGACCUAGUGGCGAACGGGUGAGUAACACGUGAGCAACCUGCCCCGAAGACUGGGAUAAGCCUGGGAAACCGGGUCUAAUACCGGAUACCCCCACCAGAUCGCAUGUUUUGG